rnacentral:rRNA from 1 species
CUCAUGGUUUCACGGUAUUGCAAUGAGAACAAUUUAAAACCCUUAGCGAGAAUCAAGUGGAGGACAAGUCUGGUGCCAGCACCCGCGGUAAUUCCAGCUCCACUAGCGUAUAUUAAAGUUGUUGCAGUUAAAAAGCUCGUAGUUGAACCUCUGUCUGGGGCUAGUUUUGGCUUUGGUCAGGCUAGUUCUAGGCAUCCGCCUACAAGACUUAGAGGGCAUUCAGUUGUUCACUAGGAGGAGUAGGCAUUUUACUUUGAAAAAAUUAGAGUGUUUAAGGCAGGCAAUCGCCCGCAUAUAUUAGCAUGGAAUAAUAGAAUAGGACACUUUUCCAUUUCGUUGGUUAUUGAAAUCGUGUAAUGAUUAAUAGGGACAGUUGUGGGCAUUUGUAUUUAAUUGUCAGAGGUGAAAUUCUUGGAUUUAUUAAAGACAAACUAACGCGAAAGCAUUUGCCAAGGAUGUUUUCAUUAAUCAAGAACGAAAGUUAGGGGAUCAAAGACGAUCAGAUACCGUCCUAGUCUUAACUAUAAACUAUUCCGACUCAAUGUUUGACUGGCUUAUAUAACCAGUUGAGCGUUGUAUGAGAAAUCAAAGUCUUUAGGUUCUGGGGGGAGUAUGGUUGCAAAGCUGAAACUUAAAGGAAUUGACGGAAGAGCACAACCAGGAGUGGAUUCUGCGGCUUAAUUUGACUCAACACGGGGAAACUUACCAGGUUAAAACAAUAGUGGGAUUGACAGUUUGAGAGCGCUUUCUUGAUUGGUUGGGUGGUGGUGCAUGGCCGUUCUUAGUUGGUGGAGUGAUUUGUCUGCUUAAUUGCGUUAACGAACGAGACCUUAACCUGCUUACUAGACUGGCGAUCAUCAAUCGUUAGCUCUUCUUAGAGGGACUUUGGUUGUUUUAACUCCAAGGAAGUUUGAGGCAAUAACAGGUCUGUGAUGCCCUUAGAUAUCCUGGGCCGCACGCGUCAUACAAUGACUAGUUCAGAAAGUUUUCUCCUGACCCGAAAGGGGAUGGGUAAUCUUGAUAAUACUAGUCGUGUUAGGGAUCGAUCUUUGCAAUUAUAGAUCUUGAACGAGGAAUUCCUAGUAAGUGCGGUUCAUCAGACCGUACUGAUUACGUCCCUGCUCUUUGUACACACCGCCCGUCGCUUCUACCGAGUGGGUGGUCCGGUGAGAUAAUUGAACUUCGCAGGUAACUGAGAGGAAAGAUUAUCAAACCUAUCCACCU